GACGAACGCUGGCGGCGUGCUUAACACAUGCAAGUCGAACGGAAAGGCCCCUUUGGGGGUACUCGAGUGGCGAACGGGUGAGUAACACGUGAGUAACCUGCCCUUGACUUCGGGAUAACUUCAGGAAACUGGGGCUAAUACCGGAUAGGAAUCCUUGCUGCAUGGUGGGGGUUGGAAAGCUUCGGCGGUUUUGGAUGGACUCGCGGCUUAUCAGCUUGUUGGUGGGGUAGUGGCUUACCAAGGCUUUGACGGGUAGCCGGCCUGAGAGGGCGACCGGCCACAUUGGGACUGGGAUAGGGCCCAGACUCCUAGGGGAGGCAGCAGGGGGGAAUUUUGCACAAUGGGGGGAAGCCUGAUGCAGCAACGCCGGGGGCGGGAUGACGGCCUUCGGGUUGUAAACCGCUUUCAGCAGGGGCGAAGCUUGGGGGGGGGGAACCUGCAAAAGAAGCACCGGCUAACUACGG
rnacentral:rRNA from 1 species